rnacentral:ncRNA from 1 species
UGACUCGGGGUGCCCCGCUAACGCGCGGGCUGAGAUAUUACCCGUAUUACCUGAUCUGGAUUAUGCCAGCGUAGGGAAGU